GCGUCCGUAGCACAGUUGAAUGAGCAGUGGGACUGUACCCCACGGUCCCGGGUUCAAGUCCCGACGGUCGCU